rnacentral:rRNA from 1 species
UACGUAGGGGGCGAGCGUUGUCCGGAAUCAUUGGGCGUAAAGCGCGCGCAGGCGGCCGCGAGAGCCCGGCGUGAAAGCCCCCGGCUCAACCGGGGGAGGCCGUCGGGGACCUCGUGGCUGGAGGCCGGCAGGGGUGAGUGGAAUUCCCGGUGUAGUGGUGGAAUGCGUAGAUAUCGGGAGGAACACCAGUGGCGAAGGCGGCUUUCUGGUCUGCUCUUGACGCUGAGGCGCGAAAGCUAGGGUAGCAAACGGG